rnacentral:rRNA from 1 species
AGUGAACGCUGGCGGCGUGCCUAAUACAUGCAAGUCGAACGGAGAUUAAGUAGCUUGCUAUUUAAUCUUAGUGGCGCACGGGUGAGUAAUAUAUAGCUAACUUGCCCAUUACUAAGGGACAACAGUUGGAAACGACUGCUAAUACCUUAUACUCCGUAUCUAUAUAAGUAGAUACGGGAAAGUUUUUCGGUAAUGGAUAGGGCUAUAUCGUAUCAGCUAGUUGGUAAGGUAAUGGCUUACCAAGGCUAUGACGUGUAACUGGUCUGAGAGGAUGAUCAGUCACACUGGAACUGAGACACGGUCCAGACUCCUACGGGAGGCAGCAGUAGGGAAUAUUGCUCAAUGGGGGAAACCCUGAAGCAGCAACGCCGCGUGGAGGAUGACACUUUUCGGAGCGUAAACUCCUUUUCUUGGGAAAGAAUUAUGACGGUACCCAAGGAAUAAGCACCGGCUAACUCCGUG